UGAAGCCUAUGGGGAGACCAGCAUGGUGGAGCCGUCCCCCUGAAUUUCCCCCUGGUGAUUCUACUCAGGCCAAGUAAUUCAGGAGGGGAUGACCCAGACCACCCCACCGCCACCCUCCCACCAGCCUGGGGCACAUGACUGAGGCCUGAGCAGAGGAUUUCACAGCUAAGGCCACAAUGACUGGCUCUAUGGGUGAGAGAACAGGGACAAGCCGGCAGGAAGCCUCCAGAAUUUUCCAGAGCUACCAGGAAGGAGCCUCUCUCUUUUCCUUCAGCCCCUGCCCAAGCCUCAGUGCUGUCAGCAUUCGCACGACAUCAGUGGUUCUCAACCUUGGCUGCAAAUGAUCUUUUCUUCUGAGAAUCUGAUAGCUGGGUAUCACACUCAGACGAAUUAAUGCAGAAUCUCUAGGGGUAGGAACCAGGCAUGGUUUUGAAAACUUCCCAGGUGAUUCGCGGGUGCUGCCACGAGCCACGAUCGAGCAUCAUGGCCCUACGAGGAAUUUUCAUAUCAGCUGCAGAGAACAUGAAUUUUACAUUUUCUUACCCAAGAGUCGUCUUCAGGCGACCCCUGUGAAAGGGUCGUUCGACCCCCCAAAGGGGUCGUGACCCACAGGUUGAGAACUGCUGGUGUAGAGCCUGGGCUGAGGGGACAGUGUUGGAUGCUGAUAAGAUAUCCACAUGCAAAUAAAUGCCUCGUCUUCAGAUCAGGGAGAGACUGUGGCCUCCAAUAAUGAUUAGACACUGAUUUCAGAAUCAUCAGCAAAGAGGUGAGAGUCCUGCCUGCAGCCUUGAAUGAGACUGCAGAAAUGAAUGAGGAGAGAGAAGAGAUUGCAUACUAGUCUUCGGAGGGUACCCUCUUAAAAGUAACCAGAAGUGUGAGAACCAUCAAAGGCAGAGCAUAAAGAAAGAGAUGGAGACAUGAAGAAAGAAGGAAAAGAGAUGUUUAUGGAAUCCUCGAGAAGGGAGCGAAGUGUCUGGAGUGUUUUCAGAAACUUAACCUAUGGUUACUGAAUUGACCUAGAAAAAACAAAGCAUGUUCUGUCAGUGAAUUUGGAGGAACUGCUAGAUAUUGUGAAGAAAGAGAUAAAAGAAGGAGGAGCAGCCUGCAGAAGGACAGAGGAAUUCCACGGAACAAGGGCACGAUGGGCAAGUCCACUGCUGGAGUCGGACCAAGUAGAUCAGAGGGCAGACGGGCACAGAGCGUCCGGGCCGGACUCGCAACUGCGCUGGGAACACAGCGCCCUCCUCACAUGAGUGAUAAAAGUCAUAAGCAAAUGCUAUUCAUUAUUCUUGGGGCAAAGAGCCCCUCUCCUGCUAGCUCCAUACUGAAGCAAGUUCUGGGGGGUAGUGUGGAAGGGAGCCCGCCGGUGGGCCACAGGUAGAGAUUAGGCCGGCAACACAGGUGUGUAAAAGCGCCUGUGAGGCAGCUGGCCUCCGUGCGGGGCAACUUAGCUGCUGGGGACCCUUUAUCUCCUUGUGGAAAAGCUAAAUGUUUAUGAUACACUUGGUUUCCCCUGGUGCCAUCACGGUACAAAAGGAAGCCCAAUUUCUUCGCUGAGCAGGAAGCUGGAAACCAACGGUCUCGGUUUUUGGGUUUUUUUAAAGGCCUAAUUUGUAGCUGCCGAUUUCCACGGUGCGAACUCCCACACGACGUAUUUCAGGCCCGCAGCACGAUGUCCCUGAACGAGGAACUGUGCAGGGAGACAGUGCGCGGCGGGCUCUGCCAGUCGGUGCGAGCUGGCUACAGAGUCAGAUGGAACUAGUCUGACUAGUCAGUGGUCUGGGGCUGGCACGGGUCAUUUCUAGAAGCCUCUCAGGACAGUCUGUGCAGCCAGGUCUGAGAACCAUUACUGACAGCUGUGCGUAUCAGGCUUUCGUGUUGGGGGGACCCUGUCGAAGCACAGGCUCUGACUCAUGGUGCUGUUGGUCCCUAGCAAGGCAGGUGAGUGGCCCCAAAAAAGGAGGAAAAAAGCAAGUCAUAUGGUCAUUCUCAGCCCGGCCAUUGUCAGAAAUGUCCGAAUCGUUGAGAGAGACACUUUGUUGGGAAGUCACCAACGAGGUCCAUGACUUAUUUAUGGACAAACUCAGAGAAGUUUGCUUUCACCCAACCGCACUGUACUUUUAAAAUGUGAAUUAAAUGCCAACCUCAUGAAAAUCUGUAUUCCUCUAAUCCCUGGAAAAGAUAAUAACAGCAAUAACAAUGACAAAAGAAGUGACAGUACUGGGCACACCCCCACCUGCGGCAGUCCUGCCCCGGAGUCCUCCUGCGACUGGUGCCUCCCAGGGGUCUCCCACCUGCUCUGUUUAUGCUCCCUGCCUCCCUGAAGGAAUUUGAGGGGAAUUCAUAUUUUAGGUUUUAUCUAACUUUUAAAGUACUUUUCCUUUCCCCGAUGCAUGAACCUACCUUUCUGUCUCACUUCCCACCAUUCCUCACAUAUAAACAGUAUAUACUUGA